GCCGGCGUAGCUCAGUGGUAGAGCAACUGAUUCGUAAUCAGUAGGUCAUCGGUUCAAAUCCGUUCGUCGGCUCCA
rnacentral:tRNA from 2 species